rnacentral:rRNA from 1 species
GGAGGAAUAUUGGUCAAUGGGGCGGAAGCCUGAACCAGCCAAGUAGCGUGAGGGAUGACUGCCCUAUGGGUUGUAAACCUCUUUUAUAAGGGAAUAAAAUACGGGACGUGUCCUGUUUUGCAUGUACCUUAUGAAUAAGGACCGGCUAAUUCCGUGCCAGCAGCCGCGGUAAUACGGAAGGUCCGGGCGUUAUCCGGAUUUAUUGGGUUUAAAGGGAGCGCAGGCGGUCUUAUAAGCGUGACGUGAAAUGCAGCGGCUCAACCGUAUGAUGUGCGUCGCGAACUGUGAGACUUGAGUGUAUUCGAUGUCAGCGGAAUUUGUGGUGUAGCGGUGAAAUGCUUAGAUAUCACGAAGAACUCCGAUUGCGAAGGCAUCUCACAAAUCCGCAAUUGACGCUGAGGCACGAAAGCGUGGGGAUCGAACAGGAUUA